AACAUUUUUUUUUUAUUCUUUUGACGACGAAUUUGCUCUUCUCCUCUUUCUCUAUGAUCCAUCUCUCUCGGCCGAGUUGGAGCCGUGGUUUUUUUGGGCUUUCGAUCAUUCGCUUCGCGCUACUUCAACGCGCGCCCCGCUCCCUAAUCUAAAUGCCGCGCCCUCGCGUGAACGAUCUCGCGUCGACGCGAAAUUCGUGCUUGCGCAGGCUUUCUGGGACUGGUGCACGGUCGACGUGGGCCGUCGUGAGUUGUUCGCUGCGUUCGAUGCGGCCGUCCGGAUGAGACUGAAGAAUGGGAACGGGAUUCGUCAAUCGAGUCUCGUCGCCGAAAGGUUUCUGCUCCGUCAUUUGGGUCAGCUUCGAAGCGGGCGCGCAAUCGGUGCCCUGCAGCUGCACCGAGAUGUCGUCUCCGGUGAAUGUCCGAAAUCUCUCGGCUUGACUGGAAAUGUGUCGGGAGGAUUCGCCGUGGCUCGUGGGUCGCAAGCAAGUUCUCUCCUUUUGGGGCGGAACAUCUGUAUACCUCGUCUCGCCCGGUUAGAGGAACUACUUCGGAUGAAUCUCGACUGGAUAGAGAUUUUUUGUACGGGAAUGGGUGGCGGAUAAGAAGAAAAUGAAGGAACCUUCGAGACAAAAGAAGAGCGAGAUUUGUGAAGCGGGAGAGUUAUGGUCAAGUAGCUUACGGCGCCGAUAGAGAUGCAGCGGAAAGGGCGUCGUUGGGCGAUAGAGAACCGGGCUCUGGCGGAACGGUUCUAAAGCAACCGCCUACCAGCCAAUCUGUUGCUGGCUAUCCGAAACCUGCGUCACCAGAGGAGGUGAAAGUCUGGUCAUUAUUUGCAGGAGAGUUAUGGUCAAGUAGCUUACGGCGCCGAUAGAGAUGGAGAAAAUUGUGCAAAGAGGGAUAGAUAUGGAUGGGAGCAGCGAACAAGCUCUCAAAUCUUAAAUUGUGGGCAGCGAACGUGACUGUUACUGCUUUGAUACCGAUGCGAGCUCAUAAAGUAAAAUUAAAGCUUCAAUUGUUUUGUGAAAAAAUUUAACAUUUUUCAGUAAUGUUCUUCAAGAAGUCAUUGAUUACUUCUUAAUGCAGCCCAAAUAUUGUAGAACUUCAAAAUCAAUUAUGGGGAUAUAAACUCAUACGAAGGUAAGUUUGUGGCAUUCAGGCUUCUUUUUCUUUGCCCAAGAGAUUGUCCUUUGAUUAAUUGAACAAAGAUAGUCGAACAUGGUACUGCCACCUACUUAUGUAGCCGACUUGAAAAAUUCGAAGUUCAGAAAUUUGACUGGCAUGUGAUUUACGUUGCAUAAGCCAUCAUUCCUAUGUCAAUUAGGGAGUUCUUCUCAUCAAAGUGGUGCUACACUUCUUUGCAUUUGCAAGCACGUAUGGGGAACCACAAAUUUCCUGUGAUAGCUCCCUAUGAGGCAAUUUACACGAGAAUAGGUAGAGUUGGAAGCAAAUUUGUUCUAAACUUCAACCUCCAAGUCCCACUUCACUUAGGGGUUUCAGAUGCUAAGGUGCGUUCUAAGAAAUUAUGAGGUUGCUGUGGCAUGGUUGCCAGAAGAAGUCUUCUGGCAAAGUAAUAUAAUUUGGAGGAAUGAAACUGAAAAUAGUUUCGUAAUAUAUGCAGACGAAGCUAACAUUGAAUAGUUACUCCACCAUGUUGUGCUGAGACAAUUGCAUCCACCUAGUUGAGCUCUAGCUCUUUCGUGCUCUUGGAAGACAUUGACAAAAAAGGAAACCCAAAGGGGAAGGUUAGAGCCAGAAAGAGACAUCGUUUGAGAUCUUCUUCCUAGUUAAGAAAAAUGAGAUAUCUCUAACUUUUCCACCUGAAGAGCACUCAAUUCACGCAGCAGAGAAUAUUCUUGCAUCUGAACUGACCACUGCAUGCUUUCAUUGCAGAGGCGCAGAAGUAGAUGUUAAGCGGUUACCAAAGCGCCCUGCUCCUCCCCGAUUUGGGAGGAAGUUGACGGAGGCUCAAAAGGCUAGAGCCACUCACAUCUGCCUGGAUUGUGGAUAUGUACGUAUACACCUUGCAGAAACCGUUUGAUGAGCAGCCGGAUUCAUACGGAUGCCCUCAGUGUCAAGCACCGAAGAAAAAUUUUGCUCGGUACGACGUGAACACUGGGAAAGCAAUCGGUGGUGGGUUGCCCCCGAUUGGGGUUAUCAUAGGUCUGGUAGCUGGUGUCGGUGCUGUUGGAGCUUUGCUUGUCUAUGGUCUUCAAUAAAAGGCCAUCAUCAUUGGUUACCAAAUUGAAAGUACAUCCCAUUUGUGUCAAAUAUUUAGAGAUUUUGUCCCCCUUUCUAGGGCUUAUGUGAGAGGGAUAUACAAAGGGCAACUGUAAACCAAAUGUCCAUUUGAAAGCUGUUUUAUUUUUUAAGCAGUUUCAUGUGCACCAGGGGCAGCUGUAAAAUAAUGUCCAUUUGGAAGCUGUUUUCUUUU